GAUGAACGCUGGCGGCGUGCCUAAUACAUGCAAGUCGAGCGAACGGACGAGAAGCUUGCUUCUCUGAUGUUAGCGGCGGACGGGUGAGUAACACGUGGAUAACCUACCUAUAAGACUGGGAUAACUUCGGGAAACCGUAGCUAAUACCGGAUAAUAUUUUGAACCGCAUGGUUCAAAAGUGAAAGACGGUCUUGCUGUCACUUAUAGAUGGAUCCGCGCCGCAUUAGCUAGUUGGUAAGGUAACGGCUUACCAAGGCAACGAUGCGUAGCCGACCUGAGAGGGUGAUCGGCCACACUGGAACUGAGACACGGUCCAGACUCCUACGGGAGGCAGCAGUAGGGAAUCUUCCGCAAUGGGCGAAAGCUUGACGGAGCAACGCCGCGUGAGUGAUGAAGGUCUUCGGAUCGUAAAACUCUGUUAUUAGGGAAGAACAAAUGUGUAAGUAACUAUGCACGUCUUGACGGUACCUAAUCAGAAAGCCACGGCUAACUACGUG
rnacentral:rRNA from 1 species